AUUGAACGCUGGCGGCAUGCCUUACACAUGCAAGUCGAACGGCAGCACGGGAGCAAUCCUGGUGGCGAGUGGCGAACGGGUGAGUAAUAUAUCGGAACGUGCCCAGUCGUGGGGGAUAACGCAGCGAAAGCUGUGCCAAUACCGCAUACGAUCUAUGGAUGAAAGCGGGGGAUCGCAAGACCUCGCGCGAUUGGAGCGGCCGAUAUCAGAUUAGCUAGUUGGUGAGGUAAAGGCUCACCAAGGCGACGAUCUGUAGCUGGUCUGAGAGGACGACCAGCCACACUGGAACUGAGACACGGUCCAGACUCCUACGGGAGGCAGCAGUGGGGAAUUUUGGACAAUGGGCGCAAGCCUGAUCCAGCAAUGCCGCGUGCAGGAUGAAGGCCUUCGGGUUGUAAACUGCUUUUGUACGGAACGAAACGGUGAGCUCUAAUACAGUUUGCUAAUGACGGUACCGUAAGAAUAAGCACCGGCUAACUACGUGCCAGCCGCCGCGGUAAGAC
rnacentral:rRNA from 1 species